UUUAAGAAAGGUCUGUCUCCCCUUCGGCUCCCCGUUGGGGAGUGGUCUGGAGUGGAGCUGCACGCCUGAAGCUUGUUGGAUCAUCAGUCAAGAGAGGAUUUAAGGAGCCAUCGGACCUCUCCUCUCUGCCGGAUGAUUAUCCCUCCACGGAUCUGGUCAGUUCCCAUCGGCGACUCUGCCUGCAGCUCUCAGAGCCUCACCUGCCUGCCCGCUCCAGCCCACUGCUCGUUGCCCCCUCCCCCGUCGGAAAGCCUUUCAAGAAGACGCGUGACUCGGACCUAGACCCACCGAUCACCUGCAGAACCUUUUGAUUGUUCUUUUCUAAUAAAAAUAGUAACUCACCAGUAGUUUCCGG